AUAUGUUUCAAAAAAACGGCACUAUCAGCAGCGCUAGCGUUCAUUUUUAAAACUAAAUGAAGCGCGGUAAUUCACUCUUUUUUAUCGCAAUUACGUUAGAAACUUACCCUCAAAUGAAUCCAGAUCAGAAAUAAUUUAUCUUUACUUGUAGUUAAGGAAAUUCUCAAAAUCAUUGAAAAAGAAUAACGCUAAUCAUUGAAAUAAAAUUUUAUUGCUCGAGCUUUUACCCUUUUACUUCCUCCUGGUCGGAUAGAUAGCUCUGCAAUGCAAUCAUCAUAUAAAAUCUUGGUCAUAAUUUUUUUCUUUCAUGGCGGAACCGUCACGUCACUAUUUCAUUUUCUUUCACUUCCCAUGUCUCAUUUCGGGAUAUCUCUCUCGGAUUCGUAUCUGUGCCGUAGGUUUUGCUUCGUGGAGUCCGUGGUUCUCGGAUAUUCCAUUUUUCACUUUAUCGUGAAAAGUUUCAUUAGAGUUUGUUCGUGCGAUGUAAAGUCUCAUCGAGCAUCACAGGAACUGCAUUGAUAUUUUCGCACUUUCAACUCAAUGGCUCGUCGGAGACAGGGGAGUCCCUGCACCAAUGGUAACAUUGACUCUGAUGAUUCGAAAGGAAGCCCAAAGAGUAAUGAAAAUGCAUGCCAGCACUGUGGGAAGAAACCCGUUCUUACGAAGGGAAUAAAUUAUCUUAUGCUUCUAAGGGAACGGUUUGCCAGAGAAAAUCUGCUGGGAAGACAGUGUAAACAGUGCAAAGCAGAAGGUAGCUCACCGAAUCCAGAGGCUGGGUUGUACAUGUGCUUGAGAUGUGGACAAUUUGCCUGUGAUGAUAGUGGAAAGAACCAUGCUCCACAACACUACGCUGCUGCAUCGAGAAGCGAGCCACAUUUUAUUGGGCUGCAUAUGAAUGAUUGGACUUUUCGCUGUUUCAGAUGUAAUGAAGAACUAGACCAACACGCUGAUAAGAAGUUACCUGAACUUGUCAUUACUCUCAAGUCUAGAAUAUCUAAGCUAUCCGUAAAGCAAGGUAAACCCCUCCCCAUAAAUAAUUUUUUGUAGGCACUUAUUAUCCGAGGGGGUCCACAAUCCACCCAGCUCUGAAACAAGGAAAUGUUGAGGUAACAAAUUUCACCCAAAAGUGUUGGAAAAUUUCAUGAAUAUGGAGAACGUUUCCCUUAGUUCAGUUUUUUUUUCUUAUCCAAGAUUUAAUUUUGAAAAUUUUAAGAUUAGAAAAUUUUAGAUAGAAAAAAUACAAAGUAAUGAGAUGGUGUUCGAAGAAUCAGUCUUAAAGAUUGUAUUGUAAUGGAGAAUGGGUUA
rnacentral:lncRNA from 1 species